ACGCUAUCACUCCUACGGGAGGCAGCAGUGGGAAUAUUGCACAAUGGGGGGAAACCUGAUGCAGCCAUGCCGCGUGUGUGAAAGAAGGCCUUCGGGGUUGUAAAAGCACUUUCAGUAGGGAGGAAGGUAGUGUAGUUAACACCUGCAUUAUUUGACGUUACCUACAGAAGAAGCACCGGCUAACUCCGUGCCAGCAGCCGCGGUAAUACGGAGGGUGCGAGCGUUAAUCGGAAUUACUGGGCGUAAAGCGCAUGCAGGCGGCCUGUUAAGUCAGAUGUGAAAGCCCGGGGCUUAACCUCGGAAUUGCAUUUGAAACUGGCAGGCUAGAGUCUUGUAGAGGGGGUAGAAUUUCAGGUGUAGCGGUGAAAUGCGUAGAGAUCUGAAGGAAUACCAGUGGCGAAGGCGGCCCCUGGACAAAGACUGACGCUCAGAUGCGAAAGCGUGGGGAGCAAACAGGAUUAGAUACCCUGGUAG
rnacentral:rRNA from 1 species